rnacentral:rRNA from 1 species
GAUGAACGCUGGCGGCGUGCCUAAUACAUGCAAGUCGAGCGAACUGAUUAGAAGCUUGCUUCUAUGACGUUAGCGGCGGACGGGUGAGUAACACGUGGACAACCUGCCUGUAAGACCGGGAUAACUUCGGGAAACCGAAGCUAAUACCGGAUAGGAUCUUCUCCUUCAUGGGAGAUGAUUGAAAGAUGGUUUCGGCUAUCACUUACAGAUGGGCCCGCGGUGCAUUAGCUAGUUGGUGAGGUAACGGCUCACCAAGGCAACGAUGCAUAGCCGACCUGAGAGGGUGAUCGGCCACACUGGGACUGAGACACGGCCCAGACUCCUACGGGAGGCAGCAGUAGGGAAUCUUCCGCAAUGGACGAAAGUCUGACGGAGCAACGCCGCGUGAGUGAUGAAGGCUUUCGGGUCGUAAAACUCUGUUGUUAGGGAAGAAUAAGUACAAGAGUAACUGCUUGUACCUUGACGGUACCUAACCAGAAAGCCACGGCUAACUACGUGCCAGCCGCCGCCGUAACAC